GGUAGGAUGGCUGAGUGUCAAGCGGUGGAUUGUAGUCCCACGUACAGAGGUUAGAUUCCUCUUUCUACCA
rnacentral:tRNA from 1 species